rnacentral:rRNA from 1 species
UACGUAGGGUGCGAGCGUUAAUCGGAAUUACUGGGCGUAAAGCGUGCGCAGGCGGUCUGUUAAGACAGAUGUGAAAUCCCCGGGCUUAACCUGGGAACUGCAUUUGUGACUGGCAGGCUAGAGUAUGGCAGAGGGGGGUAGAAUUCCACGUGUAGCAGUGAAAUGCGUAGAGAUGUGGAGGAAUACCGAUGGCGAAGGCAGCCCCCUGGGCCAAUACUGACGCUCAUGCACGAAAGCGUGGGGAGCAAA